CCACUGUGCUCAGAUAACAGAGAGAGAAAUGAGACCUUGUUCCCUCAGGGAUGGAGAGGAUGAGAAAGAUACAUAAGGAACCAAACCAGAAAGGUGACUGUACGCUGUCACUUCGCAAAGAUCAGAGAACCUUGUGGACCCACCUACCUUUUAAUUUACCACUGGCUAUGACAUACCAGCUCUUCUGUGGGACUUGGAGUCCUGUCCUCUCUCCCUUCAUACAUUCGCCCGGUCCAUCACCUUGUUUGCUCAAGCUAUCCUCUGUGGGAGACCAUGAGGGCUGUUUCCAAGCUUUUACUAUUGGAGACUAAGACGCCUCAAACUUUCAGUUGCCCUGCCUGAGUCUUCCAUGUGCUGAAGUGAGAAGUCUACACCCCCAUCCACAGCAAGAAUCUUCUCGAGUCUGUGAGAAUCCUUCGUGAUGAAACCCUAAUCUGAUAGGUCUUAAAACAUUUUAAAAACUGCAAAACUCAUAUUUUCCAUGUGCAAUCUAUGUAGAAAAACAUGAAAUUGCUGAUUUGAUUCACCUUGAAUUAAUAAAUACAAAUUUUAAAUGGGUACUUAGAAAAUACCACUCUAAUUUUUAAAUUGUACACUUUCACUGAUUUCUUAGCUUCUCUCCUUAAAAUUUCCACACCCUUCAUUCUCAGUUUAUGAUGCCAUGGGGUAAGCAGAAACAAUAACAUGACCAUUACU